CCUUUCCAGGUAUCCAAGAUGCGUGCUUCAUCCUGCAGUCAUUCCUUAGUAUAGUUAGCCUGCCAUUAAAGACCGAGAGAAACAUUGAAAUCAUAGUAGAAAAGUAAGCUUACCAUAUCUUAUCUUCACUCACUAAUCAUUAACAACUCUAUGUCUAAUGUAGGUUCUCUAUUUUAUUGAUUCUGAUUGUUGUGGUGGUUAGAGUUCAUGCAUUCAUAUAUAUAUAGGCAGGGAACUGUGGUCCUUCUAAACUAUGGAGAAAGGUCUAGAUGACAUGAAAAAUGACCAUACAUUCUUUCUUCUAUGGGUGAAAUGCUGACUUUUCCAGUUAGUGACAGUGGACGGGGUGGUUCUAUCUGGAUCAGUUACCUAUCACUCUCUGAACUUAGAAAAAAAUGUUAAGAGAGAGACUCUUCCUCCAAAAUGCACUAGAAAAUGUCGUUACACCUUUUUUGAUUUGGUGAGCAUACUUAUGCAGGUUAAGUGGUGGAGAGCAAGGAAACAGUACAUCACUAGAAUAGUGGUUUCUGGACUUGUAUUUCAUAUUAGGAAGACCAUUUUCUAAGUACUGCUUAAAUGAUAACUGAUAAGACCUUAAAUAAGUUGUUUGUUGUGAUAAUUAAUUAAUUAUUUUGAUCGCCAUUGAUAAAAGUAUUAUUGUGAGGUUGAAAAGGGAGCUCCAUAUAUCAUUCACAGCCAUGCUGGUGAUUAUGUUGUCUUUGACUUAGCUAUUCAACCGUGUGCCACUGACGAUACUCCCUGCCAAAUCACCCCACCUAAUAGUGAUAAACACCUUUGUGUGGAUAAUGCAUUGCCAUUAAAAAUGCAUUUUUUUCCCCUUAAAUGCGGUUAUCAGUGAAGAACUGCCACUAAUAGGGAAGUUUUGGCUAGGAUAAAUUUCUAUUUAAGCCACUUUGCAUAAGAUCAAGGCCAUUGAACCUUUCAAUAUCUUCUAUGUUCUAGUGGGCCGUGUGUCGUUAUUUUACCAACUUGGUGGGGAAUUUAUUCCAGCUACUGGUUCUGGUUUUAGUAGAUGAAAUACUAGAGGCAUCUGAGUAGUAGUGGACUGGCCUCCUUCAUAUCCAGAUCUUCUUUCUGGCCCACCCGUAAAUAUUUGUUCCCGCAUCAUAGGAAUUUGUGGAUCAGAUUCUCAUGGAUGCAUGAUCAGAGAGGUCUCCAAAUUCAGUGGCUCUAGGGGUCAACAACUUGAUGGGUCCUACGUACUCUUCCAAUACCAGCAUUUCAUUAGCUUCUCAUCUACAGCCAUCUAAGUACAGGUUUUCUCGGUUACUCUAUUUUUUUCAAGCCGGAUGAGAUAUAAAAGAUCAUGUCCAGCUAAACUCCUUUUGCUUUCUUAUUGAAGCAUUAUAUAAGACAAGUUAUAAUUAUACCAAGAUCAAGUUGCUUGUUAUUUUAUUUGAAGGUAGUUUGUGUUAAUUAGGAUAGUCGGAUAGGUUAUUAAAUAAAACAGCUAUUGUGGGUGCAUGAUGAGUAUUAACGGUAUGGCAAAAUUCGUGCCUUCAGGUUCCUUGUACAUAAACCAUUAUAUAAAUCAGACUUUAAAUUUCUCUCAUUUCUAUUAUUCUUAUCUUAGAAUAAAUUUGAUCAUGAGAACAUUGCUCAAGUCUUAGUUCUCUGAACACUGUUUUCCUUUAUGAUGUAAAGUUAUGAUGGGGAAUGUUAUUCCUGCAUAUUUGAUUUGGAAGAUUCUGAUUCAUGUUCUUUUGGAAUGUUUCUGUGUGUCUCUUGUGUGUAGAGAUGUCUUGGUCCAUCCAAGAAUGUUCGCCAGAUAGAUCUUAAGAGUUCAGGUCAGUACUGCCCUGAUGGAUAUACACUUGUUUGAUGAAUUGUACUACACAGAGCUCCAAAUUGUAGAGUAGAUUAAUGUUUUAUUAGUACUAAUUGAUAAACAUUGAAAAGAAAAAGGAAGCACUACUCUAGAAGUCACAAAGACUUGACACUAAUGUUAUCCGAAUAUUUUGCCUUAAUUCCACUACUCUUUCACCUUAGGAUGGAAUUGAUGAAGAAACAGUGUUUUGCGUAUGCUUAUGCUCAUGCUCUUCUUGGCCAACUCUGCACAUGCAUAUGCUGCUCUUGCCAUAUGACUUUCUCUAAUAACCAACAGUAGUUGGUAGUAAGACAGUAAGCAAGUUUUUGCAUACACAGAGGCUACCACCGCCCAUAAAAGAAAAGGACCUGUAAUUUGCCUCAUGAGUGGGAAUGGUAUUCACUUGUUUUUGUUUCUUCUGCAUAUGAAGGUGGUGGUGGUGGUGGUUUGUCUUUCCAAGAUGUAACGUCGCUUGUGAGGGUUCUAGAAAGCAUCAUUGUCGUCUCCUUGACGUAUACAGUGAGUGAUGAGAAUUGACCUGACAGAUUCCCUCUUGGGUUGGACAGUCUGUCACGUUCAAAACAUUUAAUGGUGUGGGGAGCAUCUAUCAAAAUUGGGUACAAAACCAGGUGUGGUUACCUCAAGUGCUAGUACCAGAUAUCAUCCAGACACUUCCUUUGGCAAUGGAAGGAAGGGCGGCGCAGAACAUGGGUAGGGGGCCAAGGUUUUGAAGAAACGAUGUUGUAUGUGAGAAAUGCCAAUCCAACGUUACUGUUUCAUGAAUCCAUUGAGAGCGGAGCGCAUGUGCAAGCAUUGGUUGCAGAUGAGAACCAGGUCAAUUACAGGAGUGCAACUUUGAACCAUACUGAUCUCUUACUUUUUCAUCAAUCCAUAUUAAGAGCGCAUGUGCAAGUGCAAACAUUGGUUGUAGGUCAAUUACAAACAAGAGUGCAACUUUGAACCAGAUUUUUGCAUGUACUAAACGUGAUUAAAUUGAAAAGGAAGGAAUCGAGUGCAUGUUAACGUUUUCACUUUCAUCAAUGGCUAGAUUUUUGCAUUGCUCAGGACGCAAGACUUGUCCUUGAGGCGUGG
rnacentral:lncRNA from 1 species